UACGAAGGGGCUAGCGUUGUUCGGAUUUAGCUGGGCGUAAAGCGCACGUAGGCGGAUUGUUAAGUCGGGGGUGAAAUCCUGGAGCUCAACUCCAGAACUGCCUUCGAUACUGGCAAUCUCGAGUCCGGAAGAGGUAAGUGGAACUCCUAGUGUAGAGGUGGAAUUCGUAGAUAUUAGGAAGAACACCAGUGGCGAAGGCGGCUUACUGGUCCGGUACUGACGCUGAGGUGACGAAGCGUGGGGAGCAAACAGG
rnacentral:rRNA from 1 species